AUUGAACGCUGGCGGCAGGCCUAACACAUGCAAGUCGAACGAGUGGCGGACGGGUGAGUAAUGUCUGGGAAACUGCCUGAUGGAGGGGGCUAACUACUGGAAACGGUAGCUAAUACCGCAUAACAUCAGAUGUGCCCAGAUGGGGGUGGCUUGUUGGUGGGGUAACGGCUCACCAAGGCGACGAGCCCUAGCUGGUCCGAGAGGAUGACCAGACACACUGGAAUGGGGACGAGGUGCAUACUCCGACGGGAGGCAGAAGUGGGAAAGAUUGCACAAUGGGCGCAAGCCUGAUGCAGCCAUGCCGGUUGUAUGAAGAAGGCCUUCGGGGUGUAAAGUACUUUCAGCGGGGAGGCGUUACCCGCAGAAGAAGCACCGGCUAACUCCGUGCCAGCAGCCGCGGUAAUAC
rnacentral:rRNA from 1 species